rnacentral:rRNA from 1 species
AACUGGAGAGUUUGAUCCUGGCUCAGAUUGAACGCUGGCGGUAGGCCUAACACAUGCAAGUCGAACGGUAACGGACCGCUGGGAUCCCUUCGGGGUGACCUUGGUGCCGACGAGUGGCGGACGGGUGAGUAACACGUAGGAAUCUGCCCAACAGAGGGGGACAACCCGGAGAAAUCCGGGCUAAUACCGCAUACGCCCUACGGGGGAAAGCGGGGGAUCUUCGGACCUCGCGCUGUUGGAGGAGCCUGCGUCGGAUUAGUUUGUUGGUGAGGUAACGGCUCACCAAGGCGACGAUCCGUAGCUGGUCUGAGAGGAUGAUCAGCCACACUGGGACUGAGACACGGCCCAGACUCCUACGGGAGGCAGCAGUGGGGAAUAUUGCACAAUGG